rnacentral:rRNA from 1 species
UGAACGCUAGCGGCAGGCUUAACACAUGCAAGUCGAGGGGUAACAGGAGAGCUUGCUCUUGCUGACGACCGGCGCACGGGUGCGUAACGCGUAUACAAUCUACCUUAUACUGGGGAAUAGGCCAAAGAAAUUUGGAUUAAUGCCCCAUAGUAUUUUUCUAACACAUGUUAGAAUUCUUAAAGCUCCGGCGGUAUAAGAUGAGUAUGCGUGAUAUUAGCUAGUUGGUGAGGUAACUGCUCACCAAGGCAACGAUAUCUAGGGGGUCUGAGAGGACUAUCCCCCACACUGGUACUGAGACACGGACCAGACUCCUACGGGAGGCAGCAGUGAGGAAUAUUGGGCAAUGGAGGCAACUCUGACCCAGCCAUGCCGCGUGAAGGAAGAAGGUUCUAUGGAUUGUAAACUUCUUUUAUUUGGGAAGAAACCUUUCUACGUGUAGAAAGCUGACGGUACCAAACGAAUAAGGACCGGCUAACUCC